rnacentral:snRNA from 1 species
GGAUGUGAGGGCGAUCUGGCUGCGACAUCUGUCACCCCAUUGAUCGCCAGGGUUGAUUCGGCUGAUCUGGCUGGCUAGGCGGGUGUCCCCUUCCUCCCUCACCGCUUCAUGUGUGUCCCUCCCAAAGCUGCGCCCUGAUAGUAGGAAGACCGUCCUUCGGUCAAGGGUGUACGAGGAGCUGCGCUCCCCUGCUGGAACCUCCAAACAAGUCUCAAGGUCCAUUUGUAGGAGAACGUAGGGUAGUCAACUUCCAAGACUCCAGACCCAUCCAAAUGAGGCGCUGCAAGUGGCAGUCUGCCUUUCUUA